GACUUAAAAACCGUCGACUUUUAAAAUCGUGAGGGUUCAAGUCCCUCUAUCCCC
rnacentral:tRNA from 1 species